rnacentral:rRNA from 1 species
GACGGAGGGUGCUAGCGUUGUUCGGAAUCACUGGGCGUAAAGGGCGCGUAGGCGGCGCCGCAAGUCGGCUGUGAAAGCCCGGGGCUCGACCCCGGAGGUGCAGCCGAGACUGUGGUGCUGGAGGCCGGAAGAGGAGGGUGGAAUACCCAGUGUAGAGGUGAAAUUCGUAGAUAUUGGGUGGAACACCGGUGGCGAAAGCGGCUCUCUGGUCCGGACCUGACGCUGAGGCGCGAAAGCGUGGGGAGCAAACAGG